rnacentral:rRNA from 1 species
AUUGAACGCUGGCGGCAGGCCUAACACAUGCAAGUCGAACGAGUGGCGGACGGGUGGGUAAUGUCUGUGAAACUGCCUGAUGGAGGGGGAUAACUACUGGAAACGGUAGCUAAUACCGCAUAGCGUCGGAGGUGCCCGGAUGGGAUUAGCUAGUAGUGGGGGUAGCGGCUCACCUAGGCGACGUUCCCUCGCUGGUCUGAGAGGAGGACCAGCCACACUGGAACUGAGACACGGUCCAGACUCCUACGGGCGGCAGCAGUGGGGAAUAUUGCACAAGGGGCGCAAGCCUGAUGCAGCCAUGCCGCGUGUUUGAAGAAGGCCUUCGGGUUGUAAAGCACUUUCAGCGGGGAGGCGUUACCCGCAGAAGAAGCACCGGCUAACUCCGUGCCAGCAGCCGCGGUAAUAC